AAGUAAUGCAUGCAGUUUUACUUACUCCUUAUUCUUUACUUACUUAUUCUAAUUUAAUUGUGUUCCCUUUUUUUCAUCUUGCUAUUUCAAAGAUUUCCAUAAAACAUGCAUCUAAAAUGUUCUCCCCGUGUCUGCGUGGGUUCCCUCCGGGUACUCCGGCUUCCUCCCACCGUCCAAAGACAUGCAACUUAUGGGGAUAGGUUAAUUGGAUAAUCCAAAUUGUCACUAGGUGUGAAUGUGCGAGUGAAUGUGAGUGUGAAUGGUUGUCUGUCCCUGUGUGUUAACCCUGCGACAGACUGGCGACCUGUCCAGGGUGUACCCCGCCUCUCGCCCUAUGACAGCUGGGAUAGGCUCCAGCGCCCCCCGCGACCCUGAAAAAGGAUAAGCGGAAGCGAAUGGAUGGAUGGAUGGAUGGAUGCAUCUAAAAUUUUAUGAUAUUACUUGAUAUAUAAUCAUAUUUGAUAAUAAUGAAAAAUAAAUAUAUGAAAAAAUCCUCGCCUGCCUUACCUUGAGACUGGCAUUGCAUUAAUAUUUUCAGAGGUGGGACCAAGUCAUUGUUUUGCAAGUCUCAAGUAAGUCUCAAGUCUUUAUCCUCAAGUCUCAAGUCAAGUCUCAAGUAAUGUCAGGCAAGUCAGAGUCGAGUCUCAAGUCACUGGUGUAAAAGUCCGAGUCAAGUCACAAGUCUGAAACUUUGAAUUUCAAGUCCUUUCGAGUCUUUAAAAAAAAAAAAACGAAAAAAUAAUGUUGCAGUUAUGCUAAAUGUAAAUAUUAGACCAUGUAAUUUUAAAAUCUGUGUUUUUCUCAACACAUGACAAAAUAGUGAACUUAGAAAAUAUACACAAAUUGUAAAAUUGCACCUCUUUAAAAUGCAGCUCAAUUAAACCUAGCUCCAAGAAUAAUUUUCACCGACAGUUCUGAGAUAAGCUGCAUGUUAUUCUUGGAUGCGGUUGUAGGACCGGCUUUAAAAUCGCAUGACAAAAAUAUCAUACACAUUAAAAAAAACUGUAUCACCAACGUAGCCUGGAAAACAUUUGCUAGUUAGAUGAAGUCAGCUAUCUCA
ensembl:lncRNA